CAUACUACCCUGAACACACCCAAUCUCGUCUGAUCUCGGAAGCUAAGCAGGGUCAGGCCUGGUUAGUACUUGGAUGGGAGACCACCUGGGAAUACCGGGU
rnacentral:rRNA from 1 species